GACGAACGCUGGCGGCGUGCUUAACACAUGCAAGUCGAACGAUGAAACCGCUUCGGUGGUGGAUUAGUGGCGAACGGGUGAGUAACGCGUGGGCAAUCUGCCCUUCACUCUGGGACAAGCCCUGGAAACGGGGUCUAAUACCGGAUAACACUCUGUCCCGCAUGGGACGGGGUUGAAAGCUCCGGCGGUGAAGGAUGAGCCCGCGGCCUAUCAGCUUGUUGGUGGGGUAAUGGCCUACCAAGGCGACGACGGGUAGCCGGCCUGAGAGGGCGACCGGCCACACUGGGACUGAGACACGGCCCAGACUCCUACGGGAGGCAGCAGUGGGGAAUAUUGCACAAUGGGCGAAAGCCUGAUGCAGCGACGCCGCGUGAGGGAUGACGGCCUUCGGGUUGUAAACCUCUUUCAGCAGGGAAGGAGCGAAAGUGACGGUACCUGCAGAAGAAGCGCCGGCUAACUACGUGCCAGCCGCCGCGGUAA
rnacentral:rRNA from 1 species